CACAUGCAGUCGAGGGGCAGCGGGAUUGAAGCUUGCUUCAAUUGCCGGCGACCGGCGCACGGGUGAGUAACGCGUAUCCAACCUUCCGUACACUCAGGGAUAGCCUUUCGAAAGAAAGAUUAAUACCUGAUGGUAUCUUAAGCACACAUGUAAUUAAGAUUAAAGAUUCAUCGGUGUACGAUGGGGAUGCGUUCCAUUAGGUAGUAGGCGGGGUAACGGCCCACCUAGCCUACGAUGGAUAGGGGUUCUGAGAGGAAGGUCCCCCACAUUGGAACUGAGACACGGUCCAAACUCCUACGGGAGGCAGCAGUGAGGAAUAUUGGUCAAUGGACGAGAGUCUGAACCAGCCAAGUAGCGUGAAGGAUGAAGGUCCUACGGAUUGUAAACUUCUUUUAUAAGGGAAUAAACCCUCCCACGUGUGGGAGCUUGUAUGUACCUUAUGAAUAAGCAUCGGCUAACUCCGUGCCAGCAGCCGCGGUAAUACGGAGGAUGCGAGCGUUAUCCGGAUUUAUUGGGUUUAAAGGGAGCGCAGACGGGUCGUUAAGUCAGCUGUGAAAGUUUGGGGCUCAACCUUAAAAUUGCAGUUGAUACUGGCGUCCUUGAGUGCGGUUGAGGUGUGCGGAAUUCGUGGUGUAGCGGUGAAAUGCUUAGAUAUCACGAAGAACUCCGAUUGCGAAGGCAGCACACUAAGCCGUAACUGACGUUCAUGCUCGAAAGUGUGGGUAUCAAACAGGAUUAGAUACCCUGGUAGUCCACACGGUAAACGAUGGAUACUCGCUGUUGGCGAUAUACUGUCAGCGGCUUAGCGAAAGCGUUAAGUAUCCCACCUGGGGAGUACGCCGGCAACGGUGAAACUCAAA
rnacentral:rRNA from 1 species